AUUUUUUGCAUGCCAUCAAGUGCUGCUGCAGCCUGGUAAUCACCCAGUCAGGUAUGUGGCAGCCAGAAGACACCUAAAACAUGCAGGACAGGGGGCAUUGAGGAGCAGGGGCCUCUGCUGCCACAAACCAGCACAUCUAUCAAUCACUGAUCGAUCAGCGGCUGCGCGCCCCCACUGCCAGAGGAAUACAAAAAUCAAUCUGCAUUUCCGCACCGCAAGUCUGCGUGGAGCCGUGGCUGCGCGUGGGUUAAGUAUGAUUGGUCAGUCCCGGCAGGUUUUCAUUCUCAAUUAACCAUAGAUGGCAUCCCCGCCUCAUCUCUGAGGAUCGGCGGUAAAUUAAGCCGCGCCGCCGCCCAGCUCCACAUCUGUCUUUGUGUUAUUUUUUUUUUUUAUUUGAGGGCCGGCACGGCUUCCAGGUGAAGGGGUGGAGGGGCAGGAUGUCGAUAGCGCUGAUAAGCAUCGUGGGAGCAGGACUUAAACAGGGACGUCGUUGCGCCUGACCCGUUUAGCCUUUUCAGCAGCGCCGCGGGGCCCCCGUGGGACCCAUAAGCGGCCGGCGAUAUAUGCGUGGAGUAAAGUGCCUAUCAGUGUAAAAAACAGGUGGCUGUAAGUUUAACUUGGUCAGAUGUGGAGAGGAAAGCCUUGCGCAGCUGCUGAGCUUAAUUUCCAGUCCGAAGCGGUCAUGAAAUAUGCUCCCCUCCUCCUACUUCAAAUCUGCUGGCAGGGACGAAAAAGAGGAUAUGAGAUGAAGAGACGGAAAUCAUAUCAAAGUAUUUCAAGUUUAGUUGCGCUAAGUCAUUAGAAGAGGCUUUUUUGAGCUGGCCAUCAAACGGCCAGCUAAGCAGUCUGCAUUGAAACGGCGCAGUUAAGGAGAUCUGCGGUGGUCCAUUCAUUGUGAGGGGAAGGGGUGUGUCUGCGGCCGCAGCUUGACAGAAAUAUUUGAAGUCAGGGUUUUCUUUUGUGCCUUUACAUAUUAGGACUUCGCUGCAAAUGCACUUCUAGCGACUUAAGCAAAACGGACAUCAGCAAGGUGGAAGAUCGUCGCUAGGCUUUGGAGCCAAUGUGGCCCCGAAUCGCAGCACCUGGAGGGGGCUCAGGGUUAUCACAGGCCUGGAUGGAAGGGGUUUCUGUCACUAAUGCUGCAGCACAGGAAUCAGCUUUAAUUUAAAGUUAAAAGUCAUCUUUCUUUACAGACCAGGAGUGAAGGCAUUGCUUCAAAUUUCCCCAAAAUGUUUCUGGCCUCAAAGAUGGAGAAAAUGUGUCUGAGCACUAUUUUGUAUCAUUUAUUAGCGUUGUACUCAUCAAAGCAAUGUCUGAGGAACUUCACUCAGUUUAGGCCCUGAUCAGCUGAACACUGGUGGCAGGCUUGGUGUCUCUCCUGAGCCCACCACCAGUAUUCAGUCAGGUCUGUGUUCUACAGAGGUAACAUCAGGAUAAGCCCAGGUUCUGACAGGAUCACAGGCAGACUCCUCAGAACCUGUGCAGAGCGACUGGCUAUUUUUACUGAACUGUUAAAUCUGUCUCAUUCAGCAGAAGGUUCCCAAGCUCUGGGAGGAAUAUAUGAUUGUACUGGUGUCAAGAAACACAUCUCCAAAAAACUUAAAUGAUUUUUGGCCAGUUGCUUGGACCUCUAUUGUUAUGAAAUACUGAGCACCUGGUCAAAGCUGUUCUGACUGAUAAAGUGCAGGGCCAGCUUGACCCAUUACAGUUUGCUUACCAAGCACACAGAGGAGUAGAGGUUGCUAUUGUUACUCUUUUUAAUCAUCUGCCCAAGCAUCUUGGGGGCACAAAAACCCAUGCAAGGCUUUUUUUUUUUUGUGGAUUUUACGUCAGCUUUUAACAUGAUUCAACCCCACAUCUUGGUGAACAAACGCCUGGACAUUUUUAAUCUUGAUGUUGACAUGGUGAAAUGGAUUUUAGACUUUUUAAUGUGUAGGCCGCAGCCAGUAAGAGUGAAUGGUGUCCUAUCAACAGAGUCCCCCCAGGGGUGUGUCCUCUCCCCUUCCUUUUCUUUAUAUUUUAUACACAAAUGACUGAAAGAGUGCCUAUAAAAACAGGCACCUCCUCAUGUUUGCGGACAACACUGUUAUCAGUCUGCUGCAGGGUGGAGAGAUUCAACAUGGACCUGUUCUUGACUUAUUUGUGAAGUUUUGUGAUGAACAUUAGUUGAAGAUGAAUAUCAACAAAACUAAGAUAAUGGUCAGAUACUUCAUGAAAACCCCCAGCCUGCUGUACCAACAACAAACAAGGUAUCCUCACCAAGUAGCUGGGAACAAUUGUGGACAUUUUUCUCAACUUUGACACCUCAACAAUUUUCAAAAAGGAGCUGCAAACAUAUAUUUUUUUAGGAUGAUUUAAUCUUUUUAGCAUUAAAAAACACUUAUUUCACCCUAAAGAUCUUUUUAUUGAGUCUGUUUUAACAUUUGGUUUCAUUGCUUGGUAUGUCCUUGAAAAAUAAGAACAGUCUGUUCAAACGUUUUAAAACUGCUAGCAAAAAAGAAAAUUGAACUUAACAGCGCCCCCUGUCUAACAUCUGGAGCAGACAGAUUGUAAUGAAGGCCAAAACCAUCCUUGCCAGCAGAGACCACCCCCUUUUAGAGAUUUGUUCUUCCUUCAUGUCGAAGAUACAAGUUGCCAACUAUAAGGUGCAAUCGAUACAAAUAUUAUUUUCUCCCAAGUGCAACCAAAGCUCUUAAUCAACUUUGAGCUUGGCACAUUUUAAAUGUUUAACGUUUUAUGGUUUAAAAUUCUUGUUGAUAUGUUUGACUAUUAAGUGUUGUCAUGUGUGAGUUAAGCUUAGACUGUCUUUGACAGCUGGUGUGGACCAAAUUUCCACUUCCGGGACAGUAAGGAACUGAACUGAACUUCAGGGACAGAUCUGCUGAAGCCAAAUGAAGCAGGUCAUAGACAGUAGUCGUUUGGCUUCCUUCCACAGUCCAAAAAGAUGCAUGUUGUCAGGUUCAUUGGCUACUCUUAGUUGUCCCUAGGUUUGGGUAUGUGAAUGGUUGCCAGUCCUGUGUGUCUAUGUGUUGCCCUCUAACUGGAUAUCUAUCAACCAAGGUAUACCCACUGAUAAACACCUGCCUUCGACAACUCUUCAGGCAACAUUUGGAUGAUAGGCCACAAUUGGGAAAUGUCAGCUGAAUCCUUCAGUUUCUCUGUGGUUCAUUAUUUUGUCAGUUUUGGUUUUACUUGCCUUAAAGUAGGUUGAGUUGCAUUUUAACCAAUUUAUGUGAUGUUUUCUGAGCGUGUGCGU